GCCUUGUAUUCAACCAUGAUUCUAAAUUGCAAAUUUAGAGGUAAAGUCUAAUUUUAAGGCUUA
rnacentral:tRNA from 1 species